CCUACGGGCGGCUGCAGUGGGGAAUCUUGGACAAUGGGCGCAAGCCUGAUCCAGCCAUGCCGCGUGAGUGAAGAAGGUCUUCGGAUUGUAAAGCUCUUUUACCAGGGACGAUAAUGACGGUACCUGGAGAAUAAGCCCCGGCAAACUUCGUGCCAGCAGCCGCGGUAAUACGAAGGGGGCUAGCGUUGUUCGGAAUUACUGGGCGUAAAGCGCACGUAGGCGGGCUAUUAAGUCAGGGGUGAAAUCCCGGAGCUCAACUCCGGAACUGCCUUUGAUACUGGUAGUCUAGAGAUCGGAAGAGGUUAGUGGAAUUCCCAGUGUAGAGGUGAAAUUCGUAGAUAUUGGGAAGAACACCAGUGGCGAAGGCGGCUAACUGGUCCGAUACUGACGCUGAGGUGCGAAAGCGUGGGGAGCAAACAGGCUUAGAUACCCCAGUAGUC
rnacentral:rRNA from 2 species